rnacentral:tRNA from 1 species
GGAGAGAUGGCCGAGUGGACUAAGGCGCUCGCCUGGAGAGCGAGUAGGCAGGCUAAAACCUGCCUCGUGGGUUCGAAUCCCACUCUCUCCG